CUUAGACCGGUGUUUGCAUCGGCGUCGUUUCACAUUUUUGUUUGAACUUCAGUCUCUCAGGGGUCUCCCUCUCUCGUCCCCUAUCUUCGAUUCUUCUCUCUAUAGUUUAUCACCCAAGUUCCAACUCCGUCGCUCUCUGAGUCUCUCAGGAAAUGAAAUUGAACAUGAUUCCAAGAAAUGGAAAUGCAUUUGGAGUUAGUUCAGUGCCCUGUCGUGCAUCUUCUGGAAAUGGAACAUGAUUGUGGGGCUCUCCACUUAUGGUUUGGCCGUGGUCACAACGGAAACUGGGCUGUUAGAGAAGUUGACAGUCUUGCAGACCUAGAGAAACCUAUCCAGACACUGUCCAGAAUCCAUGAUUGUCAAUAGCCUAGGACUCGGAUUGGCCCUGCUUUGUGGCACUGUAAUAUUGGCUGCGGUUUCACCAAAGCAUCAAUCUCUUCAAACUAAAUUCAUGUACUCAGAUGCUAAGUGCUUGUCGUCCAAAAGAAAUGGAAAUUGUUUUUCACCCAGCAUAAUAAUACUUUCUUUCAUUGUGGAUGUAAA